rfam:Triticum aestivum genome assembly, contig: Triticum_aestivum_CS42_TGACv1_scaffold_223669_3B
AAAGUACUCCCUCCAUCCCAAAAUUCUUGUCUUAGAUUUGUCUAGAUACAGAUUAGAUACAUCUGUAUCUAGACAAAUCUAAGACAAGAAUUUUGGGAUAGAGGGAGUAGUUG